CAGCUACCCAGCAAUGGGAUGCGAAUCUCGAAAGCCUGUCUCAGUUCGGAUUGGAGGCUGAAACCCGCCUCCAUGAAGUUGGAUUCGCUAGUAAUCGCGCAUCAGCCAUGGCGCGGUGAAUACGUUCCCGGGCCUUGUACGCACCGCCCGUCAAGCCAUGGGAGCCGGGGGUGCCUGAAGUUCGUGACCGCAAGGAGCGACCUAGGGCAAAACUGGUGACUGGGGCUAAGUCGUAACAAGGUACC
rnacentral:rRNA from 1 species